rnacentral:rRNA from 1 species
AGUGGCGGCGUGCUAUACAUGCAGUCGAGCGGACAGAUGGGAGCUUGCUCCCUGAUGUUAGCGGCGGACGGGUGAGUAACACGUGGGUAACCUGCCUGUAAGACUGGGAUAACUCCGGGAAACCGGGGCUAAUACCGGAUGGUUGUUUGAACCGCAUGGUUCAGACAUAAAAGGUGGCUUCGGCUACCACUUACAGAUGGACCCGCGGCGCAUUAGCUAGUUGGUGAGGUAACGGCUCACCAAGGCGACGAUGCGUAGCCGACCUGAGAGGGUGAUCGGCCACACUGGGACUGAGACACGGCCCAGACUCCUACGGGAGGCAGCAGUAGGGAAUCUUCCGCAAUGGACGAAAGUCUGACGGAGCAACGCCGCGUGAGUGAUGAAGGUUUUCGGAUCGUAAAGCUCUGUUGUUAGGGAAGAACAAGUGCCGUUCAAAUAGGGCGGCACCUUGACGGUACCUAACCAGAAAGCCACGGCUAACUACGUGCCAGCAGCCGCGGUAAUACGUAGGUGGCAAGCGUUGUCCGGAAUUAUUGGGCGUAAAGGGCUCGCAGGCGGUUUCUUAAGUCUGAUGUGAAAGCCCCCGGCUCAACCGGGGAGGGUCAUUGGAAACUGGGGAACUUGAGUGCAGAAGAGGAGAGUGGAAUUCCACGUGUAGCGGUGAAAUGCGUAGAGAUGUGGAGGAACACCAGUGGCGAAGGCGACUCUCUGGUCUGUAACUGACGCUGAGGAGCGAAAGCGUGGGGAGCGAACAGGAUUAGAUACCCUGGUAGUCCACGCCGUAAACGAUGAGUGCUAAGUGUUAGGGGGUUUCCGCCCCUUAGUGCUGCAGCUAACGCAUUAAGCACUCCGCCUGGGGAGUACGGUCGCAAGACUGAAACUCAAAGGAAUUGACGGGGGCCCGCACAAGCGGUGGAGCAUGUGGUUUAAUUCGAAGCAACGCGAAGAACCUUACCAGGUCUUGACAUCCUCUGACAAUCCUAGAGAUAGGACGUCCCCUUCGGGGGCAGAGUGACAGGUGGUGCAUGGUUGUCGUCAGCUCGUGUCGUGAGAUGUUGGGUUAAGUCCCGCAACGAGCGCAACCCUU